ACUGAAGACUAAACAAGGAGCUACAAAGAGAUGCACCGCCUCCGGGGUACCCCCACCUGUGUCUUUUUGGGUCCCAACCUCCUGAGCAAAGGCCACCACGCUUGCCGUCAAGCCCCUCCUGUGCCUUGGCUACGGGCCCUGCGGGCUGAGGGUGUUGGCAAAAGAACCGCCCAGGUGAUUCUGGUUCAGCCCCCUUUGCUGGCUGCCGCCUCAGGUGAGUCCUAUUCUUGUAUUUAAGGAGCUACUGUUGCAGCCGAAGCUCCAAGCGUGGGCUGUGGGAGCAAAGACAGACAACAGCUACAGCGGGGGGAAAAGGCUGCACGUCCAGAAGCAUGUUCACCGACUGGAAGAGCCGGGACCCCUCUCAGUAAAAACUUGGGGCAGCCUGAGAGACUGAGAUGAGCCAUGUUACCACACUGAGUUUUCACCGAAAGCAAGGAUGAGGACGUUUGCGGGCCGAGCAGCGUGCGUGGGGGGCCCCAGGCCCUGGAGCUGACGAGGAGCUGCAGCCUCCCGGGCUCCUCAUCCCAGCCCUUCCCCUCCCCUGGAUUACACGGAAAUGAUCCGACGGGGCAGCAGUUAGUGUGCGGCAGGACUCAGGCAGUUUGCCGACAUGGAUGCCCGUGUGUGGCCACCUCACCCAGGCUGCUUCACCUUGCCCUUGGCUCUCUGAGAAGCUGCUGGUCCCCUUUAGAGAGCGGCUUCUCCGGCUCAAAGAAAGCUGAAGGCGGCAGUAAAUGAGAACGCUCCCUCGCAGCUCAGCGCCCCCGGCCCCAGCGGGAAAGACCGACUUACUUGUACAUGGGAGGGAGAAGGAGGUGUCUGAAGGCUUCGUGCGGGUCUGUUUCUCCCCUUGUCCUGCAUUCGCUAAGUGCUCCCUGAAGAUCUCAUUUGUGGAGGGAGGGUUACGCCGUGAUGACACCCACUGGCCUUUUAGCAGUUGGGGGUGAAGCCAGAGGAGCCCCCAACCUGCCCAGGUGCUCGUCUCAGCGUUAAGACGUACACUGAAAGCACAGCCGGGUUAAGGUGGGUGUUAAAAGCAUAGCCGAGCGGGACUCCCUUCCAGGAGGGUUUUCACCCAUCGCGCUGGUCUUGGGGGCAGCAGGGACCCUGUGCUGCUGCCCCCAGGCCCUCUGCCUGGCUGGGCAGUCACACUGGGCCCCUUGCCAGCUCCGUGGCGUGCCUUUGUGACCCAUUUUAAGCGGGAUCAAGCUAAAAUCAAAUACUGUAAAUUCGGAACGGCAGUCAGAGGAACAAAGGGGCUCAGUGGCGCGGCUGUGCAGUGUUGGGGAGAAAAGAGGGACCAGCGGAGUCGGCCGUGUCCUCGGCAGGGCUGUGUGACUGCCCUCUUUUCCUCGCCCUCCGCUGAGCACUCUUCAGAGCUGGCAUUCAGGGGGUGGGGGAGCACCAAGUGCCCGCAUCUCUGAUUUGCUGGAGUCAAACACUCAGGAGCAAAGGGCAGUGCCUGCUCCUGGAGCCGCCCAACCCUCUCCCCACCCCCGACCUGCCAGCCCAGCCUCGAGGAAAGGAACCGGCUGCAGGGUCCGGACACAGCUAGAGAUGCCACACGGGGCAGGUGUCCAGGCUUCAGGCAGACGCUGCUCCUGCAGAGGGUGCGGCUGACCUGAGCCCCAUGGUCCAAAGCCGUGGGUCUCGGGGCCAGAGUGAGCAUCGUGGCCACCGGCAGCUCCAUCACCAGAGCUGGGAGAGGCGGGCAGCCACCCCCCUGUCCUGCCAGGAUGCCUGUGGCUGAAAAGAGCCACCAAGGGAUCCUUCAGGGCCACCAUCUCAGGUCACCUGAGAGCCGCUGAAGAUGAACCUGAGCCUCUCCAGAAGCAAGCCUGGAACACCUUUCCGACCCAGCCUGGACAGAGGCUGCAGUGCACCAGCAUUCAGCUCGGAGCCUCUCUUCACCCUUUGGAGCAUCCAGGCAUCCGCCCCCUUCCUCCCUCUGGAGGCCCCGGCCUUCCCUCGGCGUCCUCAACUCCACUCACCCGGACCCACUCCCAGGACUUCAUGGAGAAAGCGUCCCCUCCCCAGGGAAUGAGAGCCGACUUCGGGGAUGGGGCUGUGGCUUUCCAGAUCCUCCACAGGCUCACGGAUUUUUGGUCCUACAGCCAUUUGCCGCCAGGCCUGAGGGGGGAUGCAGGGGCAGGCAGGCCCCUGAUUUCUGGAUGACUUGCAAAUUUCCCUCCCACUCAGGCCCCACAGGGUCCAAAUCCAGGCUGCGGCGGGCUGCUUUCUUGGGCCUCCCUGGCUACCGUCUGCAGCUGGAGAACCUGUGGCUGCGAAGGGGGACAUGCAUUAUUAAUUCUGCGUCUGAGCCGUGCAUAUAGAAAGACAUUUUACAGACUCGCAGCCCUGGGCCUCCCAGCCAAGCUCGGCUGGGGACUGUGAACUCUCAGCCCAGCCGGCAGAGGGCAGCACACUGCCCUCCCAAACCGGGGGCGCGGGGUGGGGGUGGGGGUCACAGUCAUUUUUAAAUCAAAUUGGGAAAUACACGUAUGCUCUCUGCUUUUCAUUCUGCCGUGGUUUCCAAGAGAUAGCAUUCUGUGACAUUUACUGGUUUUCCCACCCAAACAUACACAACUUGCGAAAACGUUCUCAAGAAA